AAACCGUGUGAUGAUUUUUGGAUUAAUAUCUCACGAUGGUCAUCUGAGGUACUUUUGUGUGCCACUGAUGAAACAUCCGAACUUUCUGAUGGUU